AACCAGGGCUUCCUGGAGCAUGAGUUAUCCAGGAUGUAUGGGGUCGAGGCAGUCUCAUUACAUCUAGCAUGUUGUGGCCAUGUUUGCUUGUUAUGCAAGCCAUGCCCUGUUUUUUUUGGUAUGGUUACUGCAAUUGUUGAAAUGUGUUUGUACUUUGUAGCUGUGCUAUAUAUAUAGCUGUAGCUGUUGUGCUAUUUCUGAAGUUGUUUUGUUUCCUGAACUAUUUCACUAUUGUUUCUUGAUGUCGAAGAAAUUUUGUGGUUGUUAUGAUCUGGUGAUGUGGAUGUAAUAGAACCUCAUCACCUAGUUCUCUUUCAACUAUUUGCUAUCUUAUUCUUGUGCUGGUCAGAUGCUUUUGUUUUCUUCUGCAAAUUAAGCAAGUGUUGAUGUAGUAGCACAACAGUCACAAGCAUUUGAUUCAUUAUGAUUUGUUUCGUGUAGUUGAUCAUGCCCUGAUGCAAUUUUCUGUAUUUUAUUUGGAAUAGUCUUGUUUUCUUGAUUUAACAUGUUUAAAUAGUUGAUCAACGUGCUAGUAUUUCUUUUUGGAGUAGUUCCAUGUUCAGUACAGAAGCAAGAAUCUGAUUUGUGACCAUUCUUUUAAUUACGAGCUCUAGUAUAUAAAGGCUAUUAACUUGCUAUGGUCUGCUUCAUUUAAGUGUAGAAUCAUGCAACUUUUAAUGUUACGAGAGCUUUCCAUUUCUGCACUUAAUCUGUAUAUGUAGUGCUUAGUGAUGGCCAUGUAUUGUUUACUAAAAAUUCUUGGUCCAUUUUGUCCAUUCCAACUAACCUAGCUUGCCAUUUAUUUUCAAAAAACUGUUCUUGUCCAUACUCCUUUGUUUAUUUCAGCAAGGUCUCCAAGUCUGGUGCUUCAAUGAGGUACCCAGGUUCGCAUGGUUCAGGCAUGAAAGUGACUAUCCGUCAUCCGGAUCAAGUGCUAUUAUUUGUGUUAUCUACUAUGUCUGGUUCGAGUGCUAUUGUGUGUUAUCUGCAAUCUUAUUCAUGUGCCGGUGAUUUCCAGUUGGUGGAGCUGGCUAGGAGGUAGCCAUGGCCGCCAGAUCUGUCCGGCUGGCAGCGGUGGCCUUCGUCUUCAACUUGGUGUGUUUAGUUGAAGGAUAUAUAUCCAGGAGGAGGGGUAGAUGGCAGCAAGGAACCUGCAGGGCAAUGCAUCAUCUGGAUGUAACCUGGAAGAGACAAUGGAGGAAGCAGCUGACUUGAAUACACGGCUUGCUCUAUCUUUAUUUCCUCCGGAUGUAAUGUAAUGUAAAGCAACACGGCCGGUAUUUCAGAUUUCGAAGUGUCUCCCAGGCCUGACUCACUGGCCCAUCUCGACGGCUGGGGAUUUGUAGCUGCAUUUUUUUUUUUUGGAGAAUCAAUGGUAUAGGUUGAAGGCUUAGGAGUCUACCGUAGGUAAAAGAUAUGAGCUACAUUCUUGAUGCACUGGAAACU